rnacentral:rRNA from 1 species
UACGAAGGGGGCUAGCGUUGCUCGGAAUUACUGGGCGUAAAGGGCGCGUAGGCGGCUCGCUAAGUCGGAUGUGAAAACUCUGGGCUCAACCCAGAGCCUGCAUCCGAAACUGGAGGGCUAGGGUGUUGGAGGGGAAAGCGGAAUUCCUGGUGUAGCGGUGAAAUGCGUAGAUAUCAGGAGGAACACCGGUGGCGAAGGCGGCUUUCUGGACAGUAACCGACGCUGAGGCGCGAAAGCUAGGGGAGCAAACAGG